GGCAUUAAUGUGAUUGAUGGAUCAGAGAGGCGACAGCCUGGAUGAGGGCAGAUGGGGCAGGAGGCUGGCAGAGUUGUCUGGGGCAGAGGAGACCAAGAGACCCUGAACAAGGACAGUGUCUGUGAAACUGAGGGAGAAAUGCGGGCAGGUGAGUGAGUGAGUGUGGGUGAGCAGGCUCAAGAUGAUGCCACGGUUUGUAGUCUGGGUGACAGGGAAGAUGUGACAUGCACACACAUGCAAUGAUGAAUUCAUGAUCACACACGCACACCACGUGCAUGCUUCUGUGUCCUGGUCUGACACUAUUCUGAAGCUCAUUUAGUGACCAAGUGCAGUAUGCUUAAAGGCAAUGAGAUCCGAUUCCACAAUCUAGUGGCUCAUCAGAUUUACAAAAUAGAAAGCGGAGCUGGCCAAAGAGAAUACUCCAGAGUUUGAGUCAUUGCAGCAGAUGCCAUGCAAGGCCAGGUUGAUACACACAGAAGCAAAAGUGGGGGUUAACCUGAACCAGGUGGUUCUUUCUAGAGUGAGGGCCAACCUGAACCAGGUGCUUCUUUCUAGAGUGAGGGCCAUUGCCUCUGACUUCAGAGGUGUUGAUCUUAAGCAGCACGCUUCCAAAGGAUCCAGGGAAAUAUUCUAUCUGAGCACACAGUGAAGGCCAGGAAGCAACUACUCUAUGCAGACAUAAAAAUAAUGGGAUGAACUGUCAGAACUGUCAACGUCAGGGGCAGAGAAAAACCUGUUAGCUCAGCUAGUUCAGGCCCAGUACCGCAACUGAGUCUAAGAGCUUGUCACCAUGCAAAGCCACCUGGGAAUGAGGUCUUUCCUGGGUCUGACUUCCUUCUGAAAUACAUCCUGUUGAGACUGUCAGAUGGGUAUGGAGUGGGGAUCCAGUCCCGCUCUUUUGUUUACUGGCUGUGUCACUUGGCAAGUCGCUGACUGAAACUCUACAGAUUUCCUCACCUGUAACACAGAAAUAUUUAGAAACAUUCCUCCUGGGCUGUCAUGAGGAUUCAAUGAGAUUGUGCAAUUAGCGCAGUGCCCGGCACAUAGUUAGUGCUCAAUAAACGUUAGCUGUGGUCCUCUUACUAGACUCAUUCACAAUUUGCACGUGUCUAUAUGGAUUACGUGCUGUCGAUCUCAGACAGUUUUCAGGUAGAAUUUUUAAUCAGGUUUUGAGUUAUUUAUAACAGAUUCUAGCAGGAAUCUUAAGAGGUCAUUUAGUCUAACCUCCAGAAAGAAUCCUGGAUGUAAUGCCCCUACUUCCAUUUGCAUUUCUUCUUACCCAAAGCAAAGCCUCUACGUUGGGAGUGGAUAUACGACACGCAUGGAAACCAAACAAUUAAGAGCAAUUCCCCGUGAGGCGGCAGGCAGGCAGUUUUCAAAUCAGCUGCUCUUGGCAAGGUCUUCCCUGCGUGUCGUUAGAGUGAGUUCAACCUGGAGAUGUUAGACCUUCACUCAGCAGAUCCCCAGGAGCCUGGAGGAGCUCAGAGCAACAGCUUCCCUCUCUUCUCCAUCUGCUAGAAUUGGCCAGGGGCCUGACUUCUUGGCUGCAAUCAGUUUCCUUUCCAUUUCCCAGUUGGGAUGGAGUUCCAGCCCCUAACCCCAGCCUCGCUUGCUGGGUCCCUGAAAUCCUUGGCCAAUUUCUGCCAGCACCUGCUCCACAGGGACUGAGCCCUGCUGCCUGUUGUCCUUGUAGCAGUUUUGGACAGAACUUUUUGGCUUCUGGCCUUAGCCUUCUGAGGACCCCUUGUUGCUGUUGCCACGCCUCUGGUCAGAUCUUGGUGUCCAUGUGACUCCAAGCAUGACUUUAGAUUAUCUACAGCCCUGGGAUUCAGCAACUGCCAGCACUGCUUGACGACGAGGCCCCUCUCAGGUUGGCAUCCUCCAUCCAACUGUGUCCACUCCAUCUUUUAUUCACACCGAGAAAUCUCUUCUAAUCAUACAAUGGGAGCCCGAGGAUUCCCUGCAAUGUAUACAGUAGCCCUGAUGCAGAAAAGGAACGAGGCCACUCUCAGAACCAAUGACCUAAUUUGUGGAGUCCAGUGCAAAAUGUAAACGUGGGGCCCCUGGUUCCAAAAGUACUGAGAAUUUCAAGACAGACGGAGCAGAGCAUUAAGCCCAGCAUGGGGCCUAUUUAAGGCUGCAUACCCACAAAGCCAGCCCUGGCUUCGUGGAACAAGAGAGGACACAGCAUAGCCCAGAAAGCAAUUCAGAACUGGGUGUGUGUACCUAAAUGAGGACCUGGGCCAGUCCUGGACAGUGAGAAGAGAUUGCGUUUAUUCCAAAACCAUGUUGUGGUCAUCUGUCAUUUAUACUUGUAUGUUGUAUAUUUGAAUAAACUCAAUAAUUUUGGUAACCU